rnacentral:lncRNA from 1 species
AGCCUCAUGGGGCCUCCCCGCAGCCCCCCCACCGGGCAGGCACGGGGUCUCUUCAAAAGCCAGUGUGUAUCGUGCGCCUCACCUGUGCCAGGAGCUCCUCCUGAUUCCUCCGACACAGUCGUGAAUGGGACAGAAGAACUUCCUCGCUCCUGGAGCGUUGCUGGCCGGUGGCGCAAGAUCACACGCGGCUUUGGCAGGAGGGUCAGGUUUUGGAGCAAGAAAAUGAUUUGUCGAGGUCUCCAGUUAAGAGAAUGUCUGGCAGAUGUGUUUAUAAGAAAUGGAGGAGAAGCAGUUUGGCAGAAAAUGCACUUUCUUUGGCUCCAGAUGGCCACUGUAGCCAGCCCAGGUCCACGUGGAAGGACGGCCAAGGCGGGACUCCUGGUACCUGGUGGGGGGAAUUCACUGUGCACAGCCAACCUGACCUGGGGAAGCAACCGGAUUAGAACCUGAAGGAUGACCAGCAUUUGUGCAGUAGAGGAGCCGUCUGGGACUGGCAGCAGCUGCUUUGUAAAUUGGUAUGGUAACCACCUGGUUCCGGUUGGUCUGGGACUUUCCUGAUUUUAGCACUGAAAUUCCCACGACUUGGGAAACCCCUCAGUGCUGAGCAAUCUGGAAUGGUUGGUCACCUUGCCAGGUUGCCCUUCACACUCGGGAAUUCCAGAACAUUUGGCUGGUGCGGCAGGCCCGUGGUCCUCAAGUUCAGAUGAAGAAUGACGACAUCGGCAGGCCUGCAUGGCCAGCUACCAAUGAGGACACCUGGUCCCCCUCAGACUGAGCCAAGAAUCAGUGCUUUCCCCAGGGCCUUUUUUUGUGUGUGUACAUUUAAGUUUGGAUAAAAUUCUCAGAUGAUAAAAUUCCAGUCCCAGGAGGGAGAUGGUGAUAACAGCCCCUGUGGUCUGGGUGUGGCAGGACAGGACCAUUUGUCUUGGGAUAAUAAAUGACCAUCUCAGGUUCCUUGUGCAUUAAAUAGAGAUAAUUAAAGGAUAUCCAGGCCCAGAGCCCCUGACGUCUACUGAAUGUCUGGUAAAUGUUACUUCUCCUUCUUUAGGCCUUGAGAGCCACUUCAAGAACUGAGCAUAAAAAGCAGUUUUGCUCAUGUAGCAAAAUAUUUUCCCAGGAGGACCCCAAUUAAAAAAGAAUCUUUCAUAAAGUUCUUGAACUGAGUAUCUGAAAAAUAAAGAAUGUGCCUUG